CGUCGGCCUUGCCGCGACGGUCAGCUGUGAACUCCGCCAGGCCCGGAAGGGAGCAACGGUAGCGGUGACACCGGGUGCCGGCAAGUCGCUGGCGCGG
rnacentral:SRP_RNA from 1 species